rnacentral:rRNA from 1 species
UACGAAGGGGGCUAGCGUUGCUCGGAAUCACUGGGCGUAAAGCGCACGUAGGCGGACUCUUAAGUCAGAGGUGAAAUCCUGGAGCUCAACUCCCAGAACUGCCUUUGAUACUGAGAGCCUUGAGUUCGGGAGAGGUGAGUGGAACUGCGAGUGUAGAGGUGAAAUUCGUAGAUAUUCGCAAGAACACCAGUGGCGAAGGCGGCUCACUGGCCCGAUACUGACGCUGAGGUGCGAAAGCGUGGGGAGCAAACAGG